rnacentral:rRNA from 1 species
UGAGGAAUAUUGGACAAUGGGCGCAAGCCUGAUCCAGCCAUGCCGCGUGCAGGAAGAAGCAUCUAUGGUGUGUAAACUGCUUUUGUACGGGAAGAAACACUCCUACGUGUAGGAGCUUGACGGUACCGUAAGAAUAAGGAUCGGCUAACUCCGUGCCAGCAGCCGCGGUAAUACGGAGGAUCCAAGCGUUAUCCGGAAUCAUUGGGUUUAAAGGGUCCGUAGGCGGUUUAAUAAGUCAGUGGUGAAAGCCCAUCGCUCAACGAUGGAACGGCCAUUGAUACUGCUAGACUUGAAUUACAAGGAAGUAACUAGAAUAUGUAGUGUAGCGGUGAAAUGCUUGGAUAUUACAUGGAAUACCAAUUGCGAAGGCAGGUUACUACUUGUGGAUUGACGCUGAUGGACGAAAGCGUGGGGAGCGAACA